rnacentral:rRNA from 1 species
CGAGUUUGAUCAUGGCUCAGAACGAACGCUGGCGGCAGGCCUAACACAUGCGAGUCGAGCGAACCCUUCGGGGUUAGCGGCGGACGGGUUAGUAACGCGUGGGAAUAUACCCUUUGGUACGGAAUAGCCUCGGGAAACUGAGAGUAAUACCGUAUGUGCCCUUCGGGGGAAAGAUUUAUCGCCAAAGGAUUAGCCCGCGUUGGAUUAGAUAGUUGGUGGGGUAAUGGCCUACCAAGUCUACGAUCCAUAGCUGGUUUGAGAGGAUGAUCAGCAACACUGGGACUGAGACACGGCCCAGACUCCUACGGGAGGCAGCAGUGGGGAAUCUUAGACAAUGGGCGCAAGCCUGAUCUAGCCAUGCCGCGUGGACGAUGAAGGCCUUAGGGUUGUAAAGUCCUUUCAGAUGGGAAGAUAAUGACGGUACCAUCAGAAGAAGCCCCGGCUAACUCCGUG